CAAGAACCAAGUACAACACCUUAUAGUACCACAAUUCUCGCUACUAAUUAUUCAGCUAAAACUGCUAGCGAAGAUAAGGGGAAGACAGGAGUUAUCGCUGGUGUAACUGCAUCCAUAAGUCUUUUGUCUUUGUUAUUGCUAUUUCUCAUAUUACGACGAAAAUGUUCAAGAAAAAGAAAAAUAGAAUCUCCGCCAAACGACAUUAUAAUUGGACAAGCACCUCGAAAAACAACAUUCAUCAAAUGAUGCAUCAUGUCCCAGGAGAAAAAAUCAUUCUCAAUAGAAAUAAAAAUAUUACAUUACUUUAUUAGAAAAAAUCCACUAAUUAAGACGACUUUGUCUUUUGUAGAAUUGUAUUUUGCAGUAGUUUGUGAGAGCAAUACACAAUGCAUAGAUAGAAAAUGGGAAAAUAACAAAUAUCAGUUUAUUAGAAGUAUAUUUUUUUAUCGGAACACCAAAAACACAUAAUAAAAUUUCAAAAGUCGCUGAAAUGUUGCAGUGAUGGAGUGGGGCUGUAUAAUCGUUUUGUAAUAACAAUUCAUGAUUACUAUUGUA